UAGGAUGUGAUCAUAAGAUUGAUAUUUCUUUUACAAGGAAAAAGAGCUUUGUUUAGCCAUUCUAA
rnacentral:tRNA from 1 species